AAUAGAUACCCCGGUAGUCCACGCCGUAAACGAUGAGUGCUAAGUGUUGGGGGGGUUUCCGCCCCUCAGUGCUGCAGCUAACGCAUUAAGCACUCCGCCUGGGGAGUACGGUCGCAAGACUGAAACUCAAAGGAAUUGACGGGGGCCCGCACAAGCGGUGGAGCAUGUGGUUUAAUUCGAAGCAACGCGAAGAACCUUACCAGGUCUUGACAUCCCGGUGACCACUAUGGAGACAUAGUUUCCCCUUCGGGGGCAACGGUGACAGGUGGUGCAUGGUUGUCGUCAGCUCGUGUCGUGAGAUGUUGGGUUAAGUCCCGCAACGAGCGCAACCCUUAUUCUUAGUUGCCAUCAUUCAGUUGGGCACUCUAAGGAGACUGGCCGGUGAUAAACCGGAGGAAGGUGGGGGAUGACGGUCAAAUCAUCAUGCCCCUUAUGACCUGGGCUACACACGUGCUACAAUGGACGGUACAAACGGUUGCCAAACCCGCGAGGGGGGAGCUAAAUCCGGAUAAAAACCGUUCUCAGUUCGGAUUGUAGGCUGCAACUCGCCUAC
rnacentral:rRNA from 1 species